rnacentral:misc_RNA from 1 species
GUAGGUGAACCUGCGGAGGGAUCAUUACUGAGUUUGUGGCCUUCGGGCCCGACCUCCAACCCUUGUGUUAACCAAACCACGUUGCCCCGGGGGCGACCCCGCCGUUCGCGGCGCGGGGCUCCCGGCGGUCCACCAAACACUGCAUCAUUGCGUCUGAGCGAUUUAUAAAUGAAUCAAAACUUUCAACAACGGAUCUCUUGGUUCUG